rnacentral:tRNA from 1 species
UGUGGGAUACUCAAGCGGUCAACGAGGGCAGACUGUAAAUCUGCUGGUUUACGCCUUCGGUGGUUCGAAUCCACCUCCCACAACCA